rnacentral:rRNA from 1 species
UUUAGAGAUAAAGCGGAGGUAUUCGGGGAGACAGGUGGUGCAUGGUUGUCGUCAGCUCGUGUCGUGAGAUGUUGGGUUAAGUCCCGCAACGAGCGCAACCCCUAUUGCUAGUUACCAUCAUUAAGUUGGGGACUCUAGCGAGACUGCCAGUGAUAAACUGGAGGAAGGUGGGGAUGACGUCAAAUCAUCAUGCCCCUUAUGACCUGGGCUACAAACGUGCUACAAUGGUCGGUACAAAGGGUUGCCAAGCCGCGAGGUGGAGCUAAUCCCAUAAAACCGAUCGUAGUCCGGAUCGCAGUCUGCAACUCGACUGCGUGAAGUCGGAAUCGCUAGUAAUCGUGAAUCAGAAUGUCACGGUGAAUACGUUCCCGGGCCUU